AGUGAACGCUGGCGGUAGGCCUAACACAUGCAAGUCGAACGGCAGCACAGUAAGAGCUUGCUCUUACGGGUGGCGAGUGGCGGACGGGUGAGGAAUACAUCGGAAUCUACUUUUUCGUGGGGGAUAACGUAGGGAAACUUACGCUAAUACCGCAUAUGACCUACGGGUGAAAGCAGGGGAUCUUCGGACCUUGCGCGAUUGAAUGAGCCGAUGUCGGAUUAGUUAGUUGGCGGGGUAAAGGCCCACCAAGGCGACGAUCCGUAGCUGGUCUGAGAGGAUGAUCAGCCACACUGGAACUGAGACACGGUCCAGACGCCUACGGGAGGCAGCAGUGGGGAAUAUUGGACAAUGGGCGCAAGCCUGAUCCAGCCAGACCGCGUGGGUGAAGAAGGCCUUCGGGUUGUAAAGCCCUUUUGUUGGGAAAGAAAAGCUGCAGGUUAAUACCCAGCUGUUCUGACGGUACCCAAAGAAUAAGCACCGGCUAACUUCGUG
rnacentral:rRNA from 1 species